rnacentral:rRNA from 1 species
AUACGAAGGUCCCGAGCGUUAUUCGGAAUCACUGGGCGUAAAGAGUAUGUAGGCGGUUUGGUAAGUCAGGUGUGAAAUCCCGGAGCUCAACUUCGGAACUGCAUCCGAUACUGCCAGACUAGAGUAAUGGAGAGGCAGGUGGAAUUCUCGGUGUAGCAGUGAAAUGCGUGGAUAUCGAGAGGAAGACCAAUGGCGAAGGCAGCCUGCUGGACAUUUACUGACGCUGAGAUACGAAGGCUAGGGGAGCGAAAGGGAUUAGAAACCCUUGUAGUCC